CUGGCGGCACGCCUAACACAUGCAAGUCGAACGAAGUAGCAAUACUUAGUGGCAGACGGGUGAGUAACAUGUGGGUAUCUGCCCUUUGGCCUGGAAUAACACGAGGAAACUUGUGCUAAUACCGGAUAAGUCUUUACAGAGAAAGCUUUAUGCACCAUUGGAUGAGCCUGCACUUGAUUAGUUUGUUGGUGGGGUAAUGGCCUACCAAGACUGUGAUCAAUAGCUGAUUUGAGAGGAUGAUCAGCCACAUUGGGACUGAGACACGGCCCAAACUCCUACGGGAGGCAGCAGUGGGGAAUCUUGCACAAUGGAGGAAACUCUGAUGCAGCGAUGCCGCGUGAGUGAAGAAGGCCUUUGGGUUGUAAAGCUCUUUCGUCGGGGAAGAAAAUGACUGUACCCGAAUA
rnacentral:rRNA from 1 species